GCAACGCGAAGAACCUUACCUGGUCUUGACAUCCACAGAACUUUCCAGAGAUGGACUGGUGCCUUCGGGAACUGUGAGACAGGUGCUGCAUGGCUGUCGUCAGCUCGUGUUGUGAAAUGUUGGGUUAAGUCCCGCAACGAGCGCAACCCUUAUCCUUUGUUGCCAGCGAUUAGGUCGGGAACUCAAAGGAGACUGCCAGUGAUAAACUGGAGGAAGGUGGGGAUGACGUCAAGUCAUCAUGGCCCUUACGACCAGGGCUACACACGUGCUACAAUGGCGCAUACAAAGAGAAGCGACCUCGCGAGAGCAAGCGGACCUCAUAAAGUGCGUCGUAGUCCGGAUUGGAGUCUGCAACUCGACUCCAUGAAGUCGGAAUCGCUAGUAAUCGUGGAUCAGAAUGCCACGGUGAAUACGUUCCCGGGCCUUGUACACACCGCCCGUCACACCAUGGGAGUGGGUUGCAAAAGAAGUAGGUAGCUUAACCUUCGGGAGGGCGCUUACCACUUUGUGAUUCAUGACUGGGGUGAAGUCGUAACAAGGUAACCGUAGGGGAACCUGC
rnacentral:rRNA from 1 species